AUUGAACGCUGGCGGCAGGCUUAACACAUGCAAGUCGAGCGGAGUGAUGGUGCUUGCUCUAUCACUUAGCGGCGGACGGAUGAGUAAUGCUUAGGAAUCUGCCAUUUAGUGGGGGACAACAUUCCGAAAGGAAUGCUAAUACCGCAUACGUCCUACGGGAGAAAGCAGGGGAUCUUCGGACCUUGCGCUAAAUGAUGAGCCUAAGUCGGAUUAGCUAGUUGGUGGGGUGAAGGCCUACCAAGGCGACGAUCUGUAGCGGGUCUGAGAGGAUGAUCCGCCACACUGGGACUGGGACACGGCCCAGACUCCUACGGGAGGCAGCAGUGGGGAAUAUUGGACAAUGGGCGGAAGCCUGAUCCAGCCAUGCCGCGUGUGUGAAGAAGGCCUUUUGGUUGUAAAGCACUUUAAGCGAGGAGGAGGCUCUUCUAGUUAAUACCUAGGAUGAGUGGACGUUACUCGCAGAAUAAGCACCGGCUAACUCUGUGCCAGCCGCCGCGGUAAUAC
rnacentral:rRNA from 1 species